CAGCCAUGCCGCGUGGAGGAUUAAGGCCCUCUGGGUUGUAAACUCCUUUUAUCUGGGAAGAAAUGUACUUUUUCUUGAGUACUUGACGGUACCAGAGGAAUAAGCACCGGCUAACUCCGUGCCAGCAGCCGCGGUAAUACGGAGGGUGCAAGCGUUAUCCGGAUUCACUGGGUUUAAAGGGUGCGUAGGCGGGCAGGUAAGUCAGUGGUGAAAUCUCCGGGCUUAACCCGGAAACUGCCGUUGAUACUACUUGUCUUGAAUAUUGUGGAGGUAAGCGGAAUAUGUCAUGUAGCGGUGAAAUGCUUAGAUAUGACAUAGAACACCAAUUGCGAAGGCAGCUUACUACACAAUGAUUGACGCUGAGGCACGAAAGCGUGGGGAUCAAACAGGAUUAGAUACCCUGGUAGUCCACGCCCUAAACGAUGAUUACUCGACGUGUGCGAUACACUGUAUGCGUCUGAGCGAAAGCAUUAAGUAAUCCACCUG
rnacentral:rRNA from 1 species